AUUGAACGCUGGCGGCAGGCCUAACACAUGCAAGUCGAACGAGUGGCGGACGGGUGAGUAAUGUCUGGGAAACUGCCUGAUGGAGGGGGAUAACUACUGGAAACGGUAGCUAAUACCGCAUACCAUCGGAUGUGCCCAGAGUGGAUUAGCUAGUAGUGGGGGAAAAGGCUCACCUAGGCGACGAUCCCUAGCUGGUCUGCGAGGAUGAACAGCCACCCUGUAACUGAGACACGGCCCAGACGCCUACGUGAGGCAGCAGUGGGGAAUAUUGCACAAUGGGCGCAAGCCUGAUGGAGCCAUGCCGCGUGUAUGAAGAAGGCCUUCGGGUUGUAAAGUACUUUCAGCGGGGAGGCGUUACCCGCAGAAGAAGCACCGGCUAACUCCGUGCCAGCAGCCGCGGUAAUUC
rnacentral:rRNA from 1 species